rnacentral:rRNA from 1 species
AUUGAACGCUGGCGGCAUGCCUUACACAUGCAAGUCGAACGGUAACAGGUCUUCGGAUGCUGACGAGUGGCGAACGGGUGAGUAAUACAUCGGAACGUGCCUAGUAGUGGGGGAUAACUACUCGAAAGAGUGGCUAAUACCGCAUGAGAUCUACGGAUGAAAGCAGGGGAUCGCAAGACCUUGUGCUACUAGAGCGGCCGAUGGCAGAUUAGGUAGUUGGUGGGAUAAAAGCUUACCAAGCCGACGAUCUGCAGCUGGUCUGAGAGGACGAUCAGCAACACUGGGACUGAGACACGGCCCAGAAUCCUACGGGAGGCAGCAGUGGGGAAUUUUGGACAAUGGGCGCAAGCCUGAUCCAGCAAUGCCGCGUGCAGGAUGAAGGCCUUCGGGUUGUAAACUGCUUUUGUACGGAACGAAAAGCCCUGGGUUAAUACCCUGGGGUCAUGACGGUACCUGAAGAAUAAGCACCGGCUAACUACGUGCCAGCCGCCGCCGUAACAC